AGAGGAGGGGGGGGUGGGAGGACCAUGCGAGACCAGCCAGACGCACAGCGAGAUGCAACAACACGGGGAUAAACACCGAAGAUCCAACUAGGACUCAAGCUUCAUGUCUAAUUCUCCUAAAAUGACUUUAAUCUUCAGUCUGGGGCCGUUUGUAAAUACUGAAAAGCCUGUAUUUCGGGAUUGACGCGUCCAGUAUCCACAUCUCUGCUUGUAAACACUUUAUUAACGGCGAAUUGAACAAGCUUUCAACUCUGAUGUGAGAUAUUGGGAGCGCGUCCAGUCAUCGAUCAUCUGCCCCCGGUGCCAGAAAUGGUGUCAUAACAUGAUAAUGCGGCUUCACACAUUCGGCGGUGAUUCCUGCGGUAAAACCUGAGCGGUGGGAUCCGUUGGGACAAAUGUACAGGCAUGAAAUGACUAUCAAAGCCUCCUGCAGACCGGCCGGUGAGGCUCCGAGGCGCGGACAGCAGAGAAGCCACGAAGCCGCGCAGGAGCAAUGGACUUUUACGCACAGAGAUACCGGAUCAAAUAAUAAACUGGGUUGACUUGUACUCGUCGAAUUACUUGAUUCAAUUAUUUAUUGGUCAGAGAACGACUGUCCGAGCCUUUGUGGUUGCCUGUCUGUGUGGAGCCACUGGCUGCCCGAGGUUUCAAACUGAGGUCAAACUUUUUGCAGCUCUGCGCCCAAACGUGUUGGGAUCUGCAGAAGGCCACCGAGUCUCUCUGCUUUGUGUCACCGCUGCAGCACACAGGCAGACAGAUAAACCUUCUGCAAAGUUUUCACAGCUCAUCUAAUUAUAUGAAACUACUAGUAUAUUAUCGCCUGUCAGAAUAUCCAGCCGGAUUCAUUAAGGGUGCAUUUAGGCGCUGUGAGCUCAGUCUAGGAAAAGGCGCUCGGCUUUGUACGAGUAAAUGGUUUCUCUUGCCUCGAAGAUUUAUUUUAAAAGUUAGUGUAAAACCCAGUGUCACAUGUUAAAGGCAUGUAGUAUAGCCUGAUUCUCCAUCGUCGUUUACAAACUGUUGUAACGUGUAGCAAAGGGUGACAUUAUUUUGAAUACAGUUUGUCUCUGUAAUAGAUAAUUGUAAAAUGAUGAUAAGGUGUUUGCGAAAGUUUGAUGAUUAAAGAAAAAGAAUGGCACUAAUAUUAACGAGUGUUCAAUCACAUGGCACCGAAAACAUCCUGGUUAAUAGGCUACUAUGGCGUGUGUUUAAUGGUGUAAAAGCAUUGCUUUGGUAUAAUGGCAAUAAUAUAGGCUAAUGUUUCGCAAUAUUAAUUUUAAACCAUGAAAUCAGUUACAGUGUGUACCAGGGGUAACGCUUUCCUCUGGGAGUUUUCACUUCUGUUGCAUCCCGCAGUUUGGCCCCCAUGUUAAUCUGAGCUGCUCUCGUCUCUCACACACAUUAAUGCUUAAUCAUUUGCGCCUUCUACCGGACCUGUUGGAAAUUACAUGAGCUGCAGAAAGGCAGAGGAAGAGUUUUGCUCAGAUAAUUAAGAUAAAAAGCAACCCCGCAAAAUAAAUCGACCGUUAAACUUUGUGUGUACUUCUGUUGGAUUGUCGGCCUUUUUUAUCUUUUCCAGCAUGCUGGAA